rnacentral:rRNA from 1 species
GUCCUGGCCGUAAACGAUGGGCACUGGGUAGUGGAGACUAUCUAUGGUCUUCGCUGCCGUAGCUAAUGUGUUAAGUGCCCCGCCUGGGGAGUAUGCUCGCAAGGGUAAAACUCAAAGGAAUUGACGGGGGCUCACACAAGCGGUGGAGCAUGUGGUUUAAUUCGAUGCAACGCGAAGAACCUUACCCAGACUUGACAUGUACGGAUUAGCUUUCCGAAAGGCGAGCGACACCCGCAAGGGUGGAACGUACACAGGUGUUGCAUGGCUGUCGU